rnacentral:rRNA from 2 species
GAACAGAUGAGAAGCUUGCUUCUCUGAUGUUAGCGGCGGACGGGUGAGUAACACGUGGGUAACCUACCUAUAAGACUGGGAUAAYUCCGGGAAACCGGGGCUAAUACCGGAUAAUAUUUUGAACCGCAUGGUUCAAUAGUGAAAGACGGUUUCGGCUGUCACUUAUAGAUGGACCCGCGCCGUAUUAGCUAGUUGGUAAGGUAACGGCUUACCAAGGCGACGAUACGUAGCCGACCUGAGAGGGUGAUCGGCCACACUGGAACUGAGACACGGUCCAGACUCCUACGGGAGGCAGCAGUAGGGAAUCUUCCGCAAUGGGCGAAAGCCUGACGGAGCAACGCCGCGUGAGUGAUGAAGGUCUUCGGAUCGUAAAACUCUGUUGUUAGGGAAGAACAAAUUUGUUAGUAACUGAACAAGUCUUGACGGUACCUAACCAGAAAGCCACGGCUAACUACGUGCCAGCAGCCGCGGUAAUACGUAGGUGGCAAGCGUUAUCCGGAAUUAUUGGGCGUAAAGCGCGCGUAGGCGGUUUCUUAAGUCUGAUGUGAAAGCCCACGGCUCAACCGUGGAGGGUCAUUGGAAACUGGGAAACUUGAGUGCAGAAGAGGAGAGUGGAAUUCCAUGUGUAGCGGUGAAAUGCGCAGAGAUAUGGAGGAACACCAGUGGCGAAGGCGGCUCUCUGGUCUGUAACUGACGCUGAUGUGCGAAAGCGUGGGGAUCAAACAGGAUUAGAUACCCUGGUAGUCCACGCCGUAAACGAUGAGUGCUAAGUGUUAGGGGGUUUCCGCCCCUUAGUGCUGCAGCUAACGCAUUAAGCACUCCGCCUGGGGAGUACGACCGCAAGGUUGAAACUCAAAGGAAUUGACGGGGACCCGCACAAGCGGUGGAGCAUGUGGUUUAAUUCGAAGCAACGCGAAGAACCUUACCAAAUCUUGACAUCCUUUGACCGCUCUAGAGAUAGAGUCUUCCCCUUCGGGGGACAAAGUGACAGGUGGUGCAUGGUUGUCGUCAGCUCGUGUCGUGAGAUGUUGGGUUAAGUCCCGCAACGAGCGCAACCCUUAAGCUUAGUUGCCAUCAUUAAGUUGGGCACUCUAGGUUGACUGCCGGUGACAAACCGGAGGAAGGUGGGGAUGACGUCAAAUCAUCAUGCCCCUUAUGAUUUGGGCUACACACGUGCUACAAUGGAUAAUACAAAGGGCAGCGAAUCCGCGAGGCCAAGCAAAUCCCAUAAAAUUAUUCUCAGUUCGGAUUGUAGUCUGCAACUCGACUACAUGAAGCUGGAAUCGCUAGUAAUCGUAGAUCAGCAUGCUACGGUGAAUACGUUCCCGGGUCUUGUACACACCGCCCGUCACACCACGAGAGUUUGUAACACCCGAAGCCGGUGGAGUAACCUUUUAGGAGCUAGCCGUCGAAGGUGGGA